AUUUAGCAGACUUGUACUUCAACCUGGAAAUCCCAAGGAAACUCCAAAUCAGGCUAUAGAUUUCCAUAUGAGAAAGUAGAAGAGAGAUGGUAGGGACCAAAAGAGCUCUACAGUCAACAAAACAGACCUAGCUUUUACUCCAUCAAAGAAGAACUUGAUCUCUUUAGCCACCUUCAAAGAGGGAGGGUAGCACUGGGCAAUGCUGAGAAUAAUACUGGACUUGAAAUCAAAAGACCUGGGUUUGAGUUUUGCCUCUGCAACUUAAGAGCUGAGUGACUUUGAGGAAAUUACCUCCCUGAGUACUUGUUUCCUCAUCUGUAAGAUGGGGACAAUACAUUUAUUUGAACAAUUUACUGCAUAGAAUUGUGAGAAGUGAACUACUGAAUAAAUGUGAAUUAUUAAGAGUUUUCUCCAAACUCCAAAGUUAGACAAGGAGGAAUUGGGAAUGGGGUACCCUUCAGGUGACUCUAGAGUUUGACCUUGUCUGCUAAUUAACUGGAAGGGAGCUCCUACUACCUAACCCAAAUAUUGGCCUCAUGCUCAUCCAACGAAUCCUGCUCUCUCCUCUUCAGUGGAUCUCCCUUCAAUGCCUACCCUGCUGUGCUGGGUGCAGCAGGCACUGGAAUGGUAGUGGCUACAGUGGCCUCCCUGCUGGUGUUCCAGUAUGCUGUUCGGCACCCAGAGACCUUCCCUCGACUGGGCCGGCUGCUGUUCUUCACUGCCAGCGGGAAUCACCAAGACAGCAGGGCCAUGAUGGAUGCAGAGAUGCAAGCUGGUGAAGCCCCAAUCUCAACCAUAACCCCAGGCUCACCCCUGGAACCUAAUGAUACUCCUGUGAAUGUGACCAUUACUGUGACUGCAACACCAUGAAGUCCUGGGAAAGAAAGACUGUGUAAAUAUAAUUAGAGAAUGGGGCAGGCAGGAAGAUUCAGGGGAUCAAGGAUGAAUGACCCCAUUUUUCACUCCAGUUGAUCUCAUAAAUUCAAAGGAGUAAUAGCAGGGGAAAAAAACCGGACUAAGUUUUCCCCACUUUUACUGGCAAGACAAACUUCAAAUGUACCACCUUCCAUCUUUAUAAUUGAACUACAAGCUCAAUUUUGUCCCCAGUCCAAAAGAGCCAUCCCAUCCAAGCAGCUGCUUGGAGAGCAGAGUUGGAAAGCCCUAUGGGAAGGGACAUAGGCUAACAAAUAUUCACCAGAUGAAGGCAAAUACCCAGGAACUAGGAAGAGAUUGUCUUCCUAUAUCUGUAUGCAAGUUAAGGAGGAGAAAGUACUUACCAAGAAGGAACCAGAA
rnacentral:lncRNA from 1 species